rnacentral:tRNA from 1 species
UGGGGUGAAGCUCAGUGGUAAAGCAAUUGCCUUAGAUGUAGAAGACCUUGGCUUCAAUUCCCAGCACUGCAA